GACGGCCUGGUCCCAAGAAAGUCCUCAGUAAAUGUCAUCCAACAGAAUAAAAAAUGAACUCCGGCAUUCACUUAUUUUUAAAAAAAUCUGUUUACACUUCGUGCUUGUAUUCCUUCUUGUGGGGAAACUAGAGUUGGGUAAAUUUACCCUUCGCCGUUGGAGGAAGAAUCCCUUUAAUUCGCCCUCAACUACUUCUUUCGAGCUCGAAGUGGCCGCCCGUCGUCGUCCAAGGCUUGGUGUUCCCUUUCCCUACCCCCUCAAAGCGUUGCCUGCCCCUAUAAGGUGCAGAACUCACCAACGAGUCAAGCAAAUCCAUCCCGCUGAGAUCCUGGCGGACCGCGGGAGGGGCACCGGUCAACACAGAGGUGUCUCCGUCUUUGCUAUCCUUUUGGUUCCUCUUCCUAAGCCGUGCCCAUCACAGAAUGGUACCCCAUGUCUCCUGGACUCGAAUUGUUAAUGUCUGUGAUGCCUUGAGGCUUUGGUUUUCUG
rnacentral:lncRNA from 9 species